AAAAAAUACCGUGAGGAAUCUUUGAAGUUGAUGUUUGUUUUCUCAUCAUCCAAAACUUCUUAAUAAUCGACUGAUCAAUCAACAGCUAACCUUCGAUAAUUUCAAAGGUAGAAUGAGAAAUUUUAGCAGCCAUCAAAGAAAAAAGGUUAGUAAAUGUUGUUUAUUCCACUUAUGUGCUGAUUGUAGUGUUCAUACUUGCGAGUUGAGUGAUUGUUGAAACUGGUGAGAUUGUAUGGAUGCCUAUAACAAGUUUGUUGAAAUGCCCAAACAAACGUAGAAAAAAAAAAAAAAAAACUCAGGAAAAUUAAUUUAGUUACGAGUCAAUUCUCCAUUCUGUUAUUUGUGAUCCUCUCUCCUUGCAUCUAAGUGCGAAUGUAAGGGACUUGCAGGGAGAAUGGCAUAAAUAUAUAUACAUAUAUGUCAUAUACAUCCUUAAAAAUGUUCAUUUUUCUAGGAAUUCGCCUCCUUCAAACUUAGAUGAGGAGCCGCCGUGAUAAGAGCAUUCUCAAAUAACUGUUACAGAAGAUAGUGGAAAGAUGUGAAGUUAAAAAGUGGAAGCUAUGAUCAUAGAAAUGCCGGUAAAUUUUGCUCUGCAACCUUGUUAAUGUUUGUAUCAAUGCUAGCAUAUGAUUAUGUUAAUACAUAUGUUACAUGUUUGUUGCCUGAACCGCUGCAAGUUCUUGACUUUAUUGUGCUAAGAAUGAAUGCCAUUUCUAGGAAGGAGCCAACUGCCUUAGUGAGUUUCCUGCGUCAUGUUGAUGCUAAUUGCUGGUUUUGGAAACGAUGAACUAGCUCGACUUCUUGUUGUAUCACGUUAGACUCUUCUCCUUCAUGCCUUAUCAGCGAAGCAUCCUGCUCGGCUCGAAACUGUAUGUAGUAGGCUUCAGGACUCGAGGAAAUAGGACUUGGCGGGCCAUUGUUGCCUGGUGAGUUCUGCGAGAAGGUUGAUGGGCUCGGAUGGAAAUACUCGUUGGAAGGUUCCAUCACUCUUCUUGCACAAUCACAUCCGCAAACAUUGUGAUUCUCUCUUUGUUUGGAGUUAUUGAACCUUUGGAAUAACUCUAGUGAUUUGCUUCCUAGUGUUGCCUCUGCAUCAGAGCGACGCACAACAUGCCAAUUCUCGUAUAGGAACCUUAUCACAUAGAUUACCAAGGCUAAAGCUCCAGCUAUUCCUACAAUCAUGAAGAGCCCCCAGAAGCUUUCUAGCCCAAGACUACCUGAUGAGGAAACGUCACUAGAGUCUGCACAUUUGGUAUCGUUUUCGAACCAUUUCUUCUCAAUCUCCAUCAUCUUCCUUCCCUCGGUAACAUUUAAUAUCGCUCGUGAAAUAUCAGGUACUAGUGGAGAUCCUAUAGGAAACACCUGUAUGUGUGUGUAUAUCAAUAAAUAACAAGCAUGUGUAAGAUAUGAAUAUAACUCGAAAGAUGAGGGAUGAGAUACAUACAAAGCCAAAACCACCUGUCUUGUAUGUUGGGCCAACCAUGACGUAUUUUGAACAGUAUUUGGCGAGGGAAAGCUUUAUAUAUGGUAUCUCAUCAAAAGCAGCAGCUAUACCACCAUUUGCACUCCCUUUUUUGAAAAGUUGAUCUAAUUCCUCAGAGGUGCUAUAUGCCAAAAGUCUGGAUUUAUCAAAGUUCAUACCUUGUAAAAGUUCAAAAACAAAUGAUCCAUUCUUGUAGCCCACAUUUUCUUUGUUUCUUAUAAGGUCGUUGACAUCUGUGAUGGCGGGUCGCAGCUCUUGGACUGUCAACAUGGAAGUAAGACUAGCUGUGUAGCUUUGCGUGAGUAUAAGAACCACGAAGAACCAUAUAAUCAGCAGAAACCUAGACAUGUUGCUUAUCACCUCUCCCUACAAAAUGAAAUCAAAGGAAAUUACGUGUAGAUUAGUGUAAUGAAUGUGUAAUGCUGGAAACAAUUAUAACUUACUUGAGCAAACACCAUUGUUGAGAAGGAAACCAGAUAUCAUGCCUACUUGAUGCCGAAGAGGCCCCUGAAUCUUCAUUAAUUCGAUGUUCAAGAAUCCAUAUAAGGAAGCCCAUGAAAACGAAUGAGCAAAAGCUUGUCAACCAAAGUUUCCAUGUCAGGGCUUUAAAAAUACCCAUGCUUUUGCUCUGUCUUUUUUUCGUACAACAUUGAAACACCAGACUCUGAUAGGCAGGGUGAAGUCGACAUACUUUGACCUAUUUGCUACGAUAGUUACAUCUCCAACUGCAGCAUCAAAUUCUGCCAGGAAUAAAAAAAGCUUAUGUUCUUAACUAAAAACAUACUAAAUGUGUGUUUUGUGGUUUUUGGAUCUUCAAAUCGUUAGUGGAAAAUAUACUUACCCCUUGGUAUACUGCAUAGACCAAUUCAUCAUAACUGCCGGCUUUCUUGUGGUCUGAUGUAGCAAAAGGAACAUACUCAUACUGCAUGCCAUAUGGUAGUGCUUCGAUCACCAUAUCAAAAACUUCCUUGCAGUAACCUUCCACUGUUGUAGAAUUGUUGGAGUUCCAAGUGACAUGCAUGAACUCAGAGAAACCAUAUCUUACAGGUACUCCUAUUCUCAACUUCUUCCCAUUGGUCGGAAUGACCCAACCCUUGGGUGGAACUUUCCCAUCACCUGGCCAUAUUAUUGAUCCGAUGUUGGACUUGGAUGUUGAGUAUGCAUUUGUGGUAGAUUUUGCAAAGUUGAGCUCUCUAACAAUUCCAUUAUCUUUUGUCCAAUAUCCUACAACUCGAGGUCCUGCACCAAUCACAUUGACUAUCUGGUAAGGAGGUGAUUGGAGUUGUCCGUCAACUAGUUAAAGUCUCCAGCAAGGCCUCUGAAAGUGUAUUGACAAUGCCUGAAUGAGAUCAGUUCCAACGCCUGAGACUCCAAAGCCUUCAAGAUCUGUUGAUGUUGUAGAGCCAUUUGCCUUCUUCAGAAAUGUAGCAUUUCUUAUUCUUGCCUUUUCUACUGCCAUUGCUAAUGCCACCGCAGAGUCAUAAGCCCAGAGUCCAAAGAUGUUCAAAUCCAGGUCAUGAUUUGUUGGGUUUUGCUGCUGAAGCUCUUUCUUGUAUCGGAAUGUGAAAUUGUCAAGCUCCUCCGAUUUCAGAAUAUAAGGUUUUACACCUAUAACUCCUUGCAUAUCUUCUUCCAUAACUGAACGAUCAAUUGAAGUUAACUCGUUUGUCAUGCCAUCAGUGAUGAUCCACGCGUAAUCUUCGCUCAUCAUUCCCAGUAGUUUAGCUUUGGUAAAUAGGCGAGAACCAAGACCUGUCAGCAUGUGGACAAUGAAAACUCUAGUUUGCAUUGUCAUAAGCUUGUAAAGCUCUGCAACAAUCUCAUCAUCUGUUGCUGAUGAUGGGAUGGCACUCCUGUAAGGUAUGCGCACAUUUACCUGUUCCAAGGCAUCUGCUAAAUAUGGUAUAAUCCCUUCUCCAAAUUCAUUGUCCACAUAGAUAGGCACAACUUCUCUCCAUCCAAAGGCUUGGACUAUUGCAGCUAUGGCCUUUACUUGGGAAGAGUCGCUUAAGGCAGCACGAACAAAGUAUGGACUUUGGAUUGACAAGAGAGACGGGCUUGUGGCUGAAAAGGUUAUGAUCGGUACUUGAGACUUAUUACCUAGAUUUAUCAUAAAAUUUGCCUGCAUCGAGGACAAUGGACCUAUGAUCGCUUGCACUUCAACAUUCUUCAGUAGAUCUAGAGCUGCAUUUCAUAAUUUCAUUGCAAGAAAAUUAUGUCAGAUUACAAAUUUCCACAUUGCAUUAGGCAAAGGUAUGAAAACAAUACACAUUUUGUUCUUCUCUUUGAUCUUUAGCCAUCCAGUGGCAAUUUUUAUUUUUUAUCUUUUAAUUUUAUGCACUUUAUAGAAUAAACAUGUUUGUUGAUGAUGACAUGAUUUUCUAACUCCCAAGUUUUAUGGCGAGUAAGCUGUAAUGUUGAAAUUAUUAGUAGAACAUGAUCCAUCAGUUUCUGUUGCUUGUGAACAUGCUUUCUAUCAUGCAAGGAAUGCAAAUAAAUUUUUACCUGUGAUUUUUCUAUUAAAAAGUUGGAAGGCAUAUGAAUCAUGCAUGGUUAAUGAGCAGGGAUGCACCUAAAAAGCUUGACUAAGUAAUAAAAAGAAGAAAGGAAAAGUUCAAAUGCUAACUUAUCGUACAAGUCUGAUUAUCGCAGCUACAUAUCUAUAUAUAUAUGUGCAAUUGUGCAGCAAACAUGUGUCAAUUAACAUGAAAAGAGUAACAGCCUUCGCUUUUUUCCGAUACAGAUGCUUGCGGUCGACAGCAAGUGUCCCCAAGAUACAUCAGCUAAGUUGAAUUCGAUAUGUUGCACCACAUGCCGAUGUUCCGACG
rnacentral:lncRNA from 1 species